CUGGGGUGCAGUAAAGUCUGGAUGUGAACCUGCGGCAGAUAGCUUUCUAGAUCAGAUGCUGAAAUAAAAUGAACUCUUCCACUGGUAUUUGUUUAAAUGUUACAUUCAGAGUCAUGGCGAGAACCUUCAGACUAUGCUGGAUGUACCCUCCUGGAACAUACCAUGCAUGAAAGGCGAACGCAAUUGGUUGUAAUGCAAAGACACUGAGAGAAUUCCUGGAAAAGAAUUACACAGAUGCAGGUGACAAUGACACGAUUAAGCUCACAAUCAGGGUGUUGCUUGAGGUAAUGUCCCUUCCCUUUGUUGAUAGCAGUAAAGUGAGACGCAUUUGUUUGCCCACGGUAACAUGACCUUUGUUUUGCAGGGAGGAACGUUGAACUUACCGUCAUUAGUAGGUACCAGCCAUUGAAGGUGUUGCAUUUGUGCUAUGUUUCUCCAAUCCUGUCUCUUCUGAUCUCAUGUAUUUUUUAUUUUUUUUGCGGAUACUGGAAGCGAAAGAAAUUGAAACACUGGUUGCUGAGGUAGAUAAUGCGAGGAAGAGGAGGCAGAGAAGAAACAUGAAAUACACAUAGGUAAAAAAAUAAAAAACUAUGUAGUUCCAAGGGACCAUCUGGGAAAUGGGAGAUGGAUUAAUGCCCCCUCAUCAGACUGAAAGCACAAAAUAGAUCUUCUCGGUGUUUACCAUAAGCCAUAAACAUUGGUCAGCUCAUUGGUACAUCAGUGUUUUCACAUUUUAAACCAUGCAAACAUUUUGAACACUGUGCAAAAUAUAAGGCAAGUGCAUUAAUAAAGCCUGACGUUUUAUAUUAGAUUAGAUAAUCCUUUAUUAGUGCCACAAGUGGGAAAUUUGCAUCGUCACGGCAGAAAGUGGACAGUAUAAGAUAAGAGCGGCAAAAUUCAAAACACAGUAGAAUAAAACUGUACCAGUACCUCAUUAAUCAGCAAACAGCAUUGAGUAUUCACGUACUCUCGAGUUUAUUAGGGCACACCAGGUACCAUACUUUUGGUACUUCAACCCCAACCGUAACCCACUGGCGUGGACAGCUGGAUGAUGUGCAAUAUUAACACCAAGAUCACAUGUUAUGCACAUGUAAUUCUUACAUCAGUCAGCCAUAUUAAGAUCGGGCUUCUUCAUACCUCAUACUGUACCGAAAUUAUAGCACAAGGGGGUUUAGGUUUUGCUAAAACAUUUUUACUGAAAUAAGAAAAAAAAAACUUAGCAAGCUUCCAAAUUUUAGUGUUUAUUCCUUUUCAAUAUUAUCUAGUAUAUGUUUAAAAACAUCACUUUAAGGUUUACCUCCGCUAUAUUUUGCAUGAGUGUUGCAUGCAUUCUCUGAUACAAUCAUUUUCAUCCUUGCUGUUUAUUAAAUCACUCCUAGACAGGUUUGUGAGAAAUUUAUGAACUGUUCUGCUUUAUAAAUAAAUACCCCAGUAUUUAUUACAACAAAAUCAUAUUGCGAUAUUUGAAAAAUCCCAAUCUUGCUGUACCUGCAUGUCCUUCAGUCCAGAUAGCAGUUGAAGCUUGGGUCUCUUCAUUUACAUACGCGUCCAUUAUUAUUAUUUUUCUUUUUUUUACUUUGUUUGUCGUUGUUUUCUGAUUUCGUAACUUUUUUCAAGACAGAGGUUGUAUUGUGUUUCAGAGGCAGACUGUUUGCACAACAAUUCGAGAAAGAAAGUGUCCCACCCCAAAGUACUGAACUACCAAAAAAGUAUCCCAGUUGGAUUGGCACUUUCAGUACUGGAAUUUUUGGUACUGGUACCAAUUGGAAAAGGGAAAGUACCAUUAAUACAAACAGCCUACUCCUUCAAACAGUGAAUCACAUCGCUGCAACUGAAAAUAUACAGCUCACAGACAGGAUCAAGAGGUUCUUUCCGAUGGAUGGAUGAACCUGGUUAUCCCUAAACAACUCAUCUGCGCUAGAGGUAGUUCUUGAGACAUGUGGGUCUUGCGUAGUACUAGGCAGGAGUGCAUUUCUGUGUUGCUUUAGAAAACCUUAGGAAAAUCUGAUGGUCUCUACCUUAGCUCCUGGAUAACUCAGUCUGACACUGGAAAUCGAGAACCAGCCACAGGUUUUCCCAGGAAAAGUGGUGGAAGACCGUCUUCUUCUGAUCUGAUCUUUGUGUAUACAUUUUUCACCUAAAACCUGAAAUUCAAAGUUACUUUUUAUAUCUUGCUGACAUAAAUGUUAUUACAAAUCUGCAACUGAGAUGUUAUUUUGAUUUAGGUUUUCCUUAAGCUUUAUCCAUCAGUUCCUUUCAUUUCUGUUCAUACUUAAAGGUGGGCUUUGGCUGUUUGUGUAAAAUGUUUAUCUUUUUGGUCCAAACUGGCAAUUUGUGCCAAAGUCACAUUAAGAUGAAAGGAGGAAAAACCCUAUUUCUGUCCAGUGAGCUGCUUUGCAUUUCACUGUAAUCCGAACCUGUUUAACAUUCGAUCGUAGUUCAAAACUCGACGGCAGGGUUGUAGCCAGGAGUGCUGAUCUUUAAAGGGAUCCAAGCUUUAAGCUAAUUGGAAACAUCAAUGACUUUAAUCUGGAAGCCUUUGAAAACUCACAUUCUGGGCUGUGCCAGUGCCUACGGCCCUUUAGACUUGAAAAAGACAUAAUGGAGAAUGUAAAGUGCUUCAUUUAGGCUGUUGUCCCCGAGCUUGGCGAUCGGAUGAGGAUAACUUAGUCUCAUGGCCAGGGAGAAUUAUUGUUAUGUAUUUUCUGAGGCUGUGCUUGAUGAUAACUGCUUCACUCUUCAUCAGAAGAAAAUGUUCUGACAUUGGAUGAGCUGAUAACUUGUAGCGAAAAUAGUUUUUCGAUUUUUGAUGGGAAGAUCAACAGAAAACAGGUGUGCAGGGGAGAGAUGUAAAGAGAUGUACUGUUCCAUUGAUGUGUGUGUGAGAGAGGCUGUUUUCUUCUUUCAGGCCUGAUGGAAUAGAACACCACUAUUGGCUGUAGCUCAGCCUUGUGUUUUACAAUCUUGGGUUGUAUCACUGAUGAAUUUAAGGAAUUAGCAUAGAAGGAGGGCAAUACGGGAUGUAUUUGUAAUGGCAAAAAAAGAUUCUGUAGAUAUGCUGUGAGGCUUGGCUACUCACUGUCAUGCAUGUUAACGUGUGUAUUUAUAGCCUGCAGAUAGAUUUUCUUCCAGGACUUCCCCCUAAAAAGUGAGAAUUCCUCUUGGCAUGAGACAGGGAGAAACCUAUUGGCCACGCACGUCACAGAACAGUGCCUGCGGCCGCAAGCGGGUCGCUUGUUGCCAGAUCCGGUCUGCUGCCGGGCAGCCCUAAGAUCUGGUUACUCUGAAGCCUGGCAAUUAGUGUGUAAAAUGACGAUUCUGCAGGAGGUCGUCUGGGUGGGAAAGCAGCCCUGUGGAUCUGAGGUCUGCUCUCAUGUCUGUGUGGAAGUUGUG